rnacentral:rRNA from 1 species
AGAACGAACGCUGGCGGCAUGCCUAACACAUGCAAGUCGAACGCUUGCCCGGUUUCGGCCGGGCAGGAGUGGCGCACGGGUGAGUAGCGCGUGGGAACCUGCCCUGUUGUGGGGGAUAACCGAGGGAAACUUCGGCUAAUACCGCAUGCGCCCGGAGCAAUCCGGGGAAAGAUUUAUCGCAGCAGGAGGGGCCCGCGUCGGAUUAGGUAGUUGGUGGGGUAACGGCCCACCAAGCCUGUGAUCCGUAGCUGGUCUGAGAGGAUGAUCAGCCACACUGGGACUGAGACACGGCCCAGACUCCUACGGGAGGCAGCAGUGGGGAAUUUUGCGCAAUGGGGGAAACCCUGACGCAGCAACGCCGCGUGGAGGAUGAAAUCCCUUGGGAUGUAAACUCCUUUCGAUAGGGAAGAUAAUGACGGUACCUAUAGAAGAAGCCCGGCUAACUUCGUGCCAGCAGCCGC